rnacentral:rRNA from 1 species
GACGAACGCUGGCGGCGUGCCUAAUACAUGCAAGUCGAACGCAGUGGGGACGGGUGCGUAACACGUGGGUAACCUCCCAUCAGAGGGGAUAACACUUGGAAACAGGUGCUAAACCGCUACUGAUGGAUGGACCCGCGGUGCAUUAGCUAGUUGGUGGGGUAACGGCUCACCAAGGCCACGAUGCAGAGCCGAGCUGAGAGGGUGAUCGGCCACACUGGGACUGAGACACGGCCCAGAGGCCUACGGGAGGCAGCAGGAGGGAAUCUUCGGCAAUGGACGAAAGGCUGACCGAGCAACGCCGCGUGAGUGAAGAAGGUGUUCGGAGGGUAAAACUCUGUUGUUGGAGAAGCGGUAUCUAACCAGAAAGCCACGGCUAACUACGUGCCAGCAGCCGCGGUAAGUC